UACGUAGGUCCCGAGCGUUGUCCGGAUUUAUUGGGCGUAAAGCGAGCGCAGGUGGUUUAUUAAGUCUGGUGUAAAAGGCAGUGGCUCAACCAUUGUACGCAUUGGAAACUGGUAGACUUGAAUGCAGGAGAGGAGAGUGGAAUUCCAUGUGUAGCGGUGAAAUGCGUAGAUAUAUGGAGGAACACCGGUGGCGAAAGCGGCUCUCUGGCCUGUAACUGACGCUGAGGUUCGAAAGCGUGGGUAGCAAACAGG
rnacentral:rRNA from 1 species